rnacentral:rRNA from 1 species
CAUCGUAAACCUCUGUAGCCGGGGACAAAUGUGGGAUUACUAUCCCAUUGAUGGUACCCGGAAAGUAAGGAUCGGCUAACUACGUGC